AUACGGAGGGGACUAGCGUUGUUCGGAAUUACUGGGCGUAAAGAGUACGUAGGCGGUCUAUCAAGUUGGGUGUGAAAGCCCGGGGCUCAACCCCGGAACUGCACUCAAAACUGAUAAACUAGAGAUCGGAAGAGGUAUGUGGAAUUCCCAGUGUAGAGGUGAAAUUCGUAGAUAUUGGGAAGAACACCAGUGGCGAAGGCGGCUUACUGGUCCGAGACUGACGCUGAGGUACGAAAGCGUGGGGAGCAAACAGGAUUAGAUACCCCAGUAGUCC
rnacentral:rRNA from 1 species